UGGCUCAGGUUAAAGUGUCUGCCUGGAAUGCAGAAGACCAGGGUUAGAUCCCUG
rfam:Ovis aries breed Texel chromosome 18, whole genome shotgun sequence.